rnacentral:rRNA from 1 species
UGCAGGAAGAAGGCCUUCUGGGUUGUAAACUGCUUUUAUCAGGGAAGAAAACGCUCCUGCGGGAGUAACUGACGGUACCUGAUGAAUAAGCACCGGCUAACUCCGUGCCAGCAGCCGCGGUAAUACGGAGGGUGCAAGCGUUGUCCGGAUUUAUUGGGUUUAAAGGGUGCGUAGGCGGCCCGUUAAGUCAGUGGUGAAAGCCAACAGCUCAACUGUUGAACUGCCAUUGAUACUGACGGGCUUGAGUACAGACGAGGUAGGCGGAAUUGAAGAUGUAGCGGUGAAAUGCAUAGAUAUCUUCAAGAACACCGAUUGCGUAGGCAGCUUACUAGGCUGUAACUGACGCUGAGGCACGAAAGCGUGGGGAGCGAACAGGAUUAGAUACCCUGGUAGUCCACGCCGUAAACGA